GCCGCCAUAGCUCAGCUAGUAGAGCACCUGACUUGUAAUCAGGGGGUCGAGGGGGCAGAGCCCUCUGGCGGCUCCA
rnacentral:tRNA from 1 species